rnacentral:rRNA from 1 species
CCUACGGGAUGCAGCAGUGAGGAAUAUUGGUCAAUGGACGAGAGUCUGAACCAGCCAAGUAGCGUGAAGGAUGACUGCCCUAUGGGUUGUAAACUUCUUUUAUAUGGGAAUAAAAUGUUCCACGUGUGGGAUUUUGUAUGUACCAUAUGAAUAAGGAUCGGCUAACUCCGUGCCAGCAGCCGCGGUAAUACGGAGGAUCCGAGCGUUAUCCGGAUUUAUUGGGUUUAAAGGGAGCGUAGGUGGAUUGUUAAGUCAGUUGUGAAAGUUUGCGGCUCAACCGUAAAAUUGCAGUUGAAACUGGCAGUCUUGAGUACAGUAGAGGUGGGCGGAAUUCGUGGUGUAGCGGUGAAAUGCUUAGAUAUCACGAAGAACUCAGAUUGCGAAGGCAGUUCACUGGACUGCAACUGACACUGAGGCUCGAAAGUGUGGGUAUCAAACAGGAUUAGAUACCCGUGUAGUC